rnacentral:pre_miRNA from 1 species
ACUAUACUACUGACAGACCGCAACCUGAACACAACCUUUUUUGAUCCAGCAGGUGGUACAGGGUGCCGAUGUCUUUGUGGUUUGUUGAGUAUAGU